UACGAAGGGGGCUAGCGUUGCUCGGAAUUACUGGGCGUAAAGGGCGCGUAGGCGGCCCGUCAAGUCCCGUGUGAAAGCCCCCGGCUCAACCGGGGAACGGCGCGGGAAACUAGCAGGCUUGAGUUCGGGAGAGGGAAGCGGAAUUCCGGGUGUAGCGGUGAAAUGCGCAGAUAUCCGGAGGAACACCGGUGGCGAAGGCGGCUUCCUGGACCGACACUGACGCUGAGGCGCGAAAGCUAGGGGAGCAAACGGG
rnacentral:rRNA from 1 species